GCCCGUCUAGCUCAGUCGGCAGAGCGCAAGGCUCUUAACCUUAUGGUCGUGCCACGGUGGGCG
rnacentral:tRNA from 1 species